ASUCCUACGGGAGGCAGCAGUGGGGAAUUUUGGACAAUGGGCGAAAGCCUGAUCCAGCAAUGCCGCGUGCAGGAAGAAGGCCUUCGGGUUGUAAACUGCUUUUGUACGGAACGAAAAGGCCUGCCCCAAUACGGCGGGCCCAUGACGGUACCGUAAGAAUAAGCACCGGCUAACUACGUGCCAGCAGCCGCGGUAAUACGUAGGGUGCGAGCGUUAAUCGGAAUUACUGGGCGUAAAGCGUGCGCAGGCGGUGAUGUAAGACAGUUGUGAAAUCCCCGGGCUCAACCUGGGAAUUGCAUCUGUGACUGCAUCGCUAGAGUACGGUAGAGGGGGAUGGAAUUCCGCGUGUAGCAGUGAAAUGCGUAGAUAUGCGGAGGAACACCGAUGGCGAAGGCAAUCCCCUGGACCUGUACUGACGCUCAUGCACGAAAGCGUGGGGAGCAAACAGGAUUAGAUACCCUGGUAGUCCACGCCCUAAACGAUGUCAACUGGUUGUUGGGUGCAUUAGUACUCAGUAACGAAGCUAACGCGUGAAGUUGACCGCCUGGGGAGUACGGUCGCAAGAUUAAAACUCAAAGGAAUUGACGG
rnacentral:rRNA from 1 species